rnacentral:rRNA from 1 species
GACGAACCGUGCGAACGUUAUUCGGAAUCACUGGGCUUAAAGCGCGUGUAGGUGGCUUGACACGUCCGUCGCUGAAAUCCCCCGGCUUAACCGGGGAACUGGCGUGGAUACGAUCAGGCUUGAGGGAUGUAGGGGGAUCGGGAACUUCCGGUGGAGCGGUGAAAUGCGUUGAGAUCGGAAGGAACGCCCGUGGCGAAAGCGCGGUCCUGGACAUUUCCUGACACUGAGACGCGAAAGCUAGGGGAGCAAACGGG